rnacentral:rRNA from 1 species
GGAUGAACGCUGGCGGCGUGCUUAACCCAUGCAAGUCGAACGGGAAACCUUUUAUUGAAGCUUCGGCAGAUUUAGCUGGUUUCUAGUGGCGGACGGGUGAGUAACGCGUGGGUAACCUGCCUUAUACAGGGGGAUAACAACCAGAAAUGGUUGCUAAUACCGCAUAAGCGCACAGGACCGCAUGGUCCGGUGUGAAAAACUCCGGUGGUAUAAGAUGGACCCGCGUUGGAUUAGCUAGUUGGCAGGGUAACGGCCUACCAAGGCGACGAUCCAUAGCCGGCCUGAGAGGGUGAACGGCCACAUUGGGACUGAGACACGGCCCAGACUCCUACGGGAGGCAGCAGUGGGGAAUAUUGCACAAUGGGGGAAACCCUGAUGCAGCGACGCCGCGUGAAGGAAGAAGUAUCUCGGUAUGUAAACUUCUAUCAGCAGGGAAGAUAGUGACGGUACCUGACUAAGAAGCCCCGGCUAACUACGUG